AUACGUAGGGGGCGAGCGUUGUCCGGAAUGAUUGGGCGUAAAGGGCGCGUAGGCGGCGCGGUAAGUCUGGAGUGAAAGUCCUGCUUUCAAGGUAGGAAUUGCUUUGGAUACUGCCGCGCUUGAGUGCAGGAGAGGUUAUCGGAAUUCCCGGUGUAGCGGUGAAAUGCGUAGAGAUCGGGAGGAACACCAGUGGCGAAGGCGGGUAACUGGACUGCAACUGACGCUGAGGCGCGAAAGUGUGGGGAGCAAACAGGAUUAGAUACCCUGGUAGUCCACACUGUAAACGAUGAAUGCUAGGUGUAAGAGGUAUCGACCCCUUUUGUGCCGGAGUCAACACAAUAAGCAUUCCGCCUGGGGAGUACGGCCGCAAGGUUGAAACUCAAAGGAAUUGACGGGG
rnacentral:rRNA from 1 species